AUGAGCAUGCUGCCGCCAUGGUCGCCUUGGCUGACGAACCCGAGGAGCUUCACCAGGUGGCGGUGCCGGACCCGGCCCAGGAUCUUCACCUCCCUCGCGAAGCUCUUGUCCUGCAGCAGCAUGUCGCUGUCCAUGUGCACGAACCUCUUCACGGCCACCGUCUCGCCGGUGGGCAGCUCUGCCCUGUACACCGUCCCCGAGCCCCCGGAGCCGACGGCGAACUGGUCGCUCAAGUUCGCCGUCGCCUCCAUGAUCGCAUCCCACCGGAACUCCCGCCGCGCCGAGCCCUUGAUAAUCAGCUGCCGGUUCGUGUUGCCCUGGGUGGACGAGAACACCGUGCAGUUCACCUCCCCGGAGUGCCGCCCGCGCCGCCGCACUGCCAUCAGCACAAGCACGAUCACUAGGAGCACAAUCGUCAGUAUCACCGCCGCGGACACCAGCGCGAUCGACGCGGAGUGCAUCGUAGACCGGCCACGUCUGCCGCUGCCGCCUCUCAGAUGGCUGCCGCAGAGCGCAGCAUUGCCGGAGAAGGCGUCCUGCGGCCACCGGGAGAACUCGUCCCCAAGCCUACCAUCCAGCCGAUUGCUAGACAAGUCCAGCUCCACCAAACUGCUCAUCCUGGCGAGCUGCGACGGCACUGUUCCCACCAGAGCAUUGUGAGAGAGGUUCAAAUCUUCCAGCUUGGAGAGAGACCCAAUUGACGCAGGGAUUAUGCCCACCAGAUUGUUGCUGCUCAAAUCCAGCAAGCUCUGCAACUCUUGCAUCUUGCCGAUGUCAGGUGGAAUCGCGCCCGACAGGUGA
rnacentral:rRNA from 1 species